CUGCCACCACCACCACUACCAUAACCACAACCACCAUAAACACCACCAUUACCGGGACUACCACCACCACCACUCUCAUCACCAGCAUGACUACAACCACCAUCAACACCACUAUUACCAGGAACGACCACCACCGCCACCACCACCACCACAGCUAUCACUACCACCACCACCACUCCCAUCACCACCAUGACUAUAACCACCGUCAACACCAUUACCAG
rnacentral:lncRNA from 10 species